GCCGAUGUAGCUCAGUUGGUAGAGCAGCUGAUUCGUAAUCAGCAGGUCAGCGGUUCGAGUCCGCUCACCAGCUCCA
rnacentral:tRNA from 1 species